AGCGAACGCUGGCGGCAGGCUUAACACAUGCAAGUCGAGCGGGCAUCCUUGUGGUGUCAGCGGCAGACGGGUGAGUAACGCGUGGGAACGUGCCCUUCGGUUCGGAAUAACUCAGGGAAACUUAAGCUAAUACCGGAUACGUGCGAGAGCAGAAAGGUUUAUCUGCCGAAGGAUCGGCCCGCGUCUGAUUAGCUAGUUGGUGAGGUUAUGGCUCACCAAGGCGACGAUCAGUAGCUGGUCUGAGAGGAUGAUCAGCCACACUGGGACUGAGACACGGCCCAGACUCCUACGGGAGGCAGCAGUGGGGAAUAUUGGACAAUGGGGGCAACCCUGAUCCAGCCAUGCCGCGUGAGUGAUGACGGCCUUAGGGUUGUAAAGCUCUUUUCUCCGGGACGAUAAUGACGGUACCGGAGGAAUAAGCCCCGGCUAACUUCGUG
rnacentral:rRNA from 1 species